GACGAACGCUGGCGGCGUGCUUAACACAUGCAAGUCGAACGGAAAGGCCCUGCUUUUGUGGGGUGCUCGAGUGGCGAACGGGUGAGUAACACGUGAGUAACCUGCCCUUGACUUUGGGAUAACUUCAGGAAACUGGGGCUAAUACCGGAUAGGAGCUCCUGCUGCAUGGUGGGGGUUGGAAAGUUUCGGCGGUUGGGGAUGGACUCGCGGCUUAUCAGCUUGUUGGUGGGGUAGUGGCUUACCAAGGCUUUGACGGGUAGCCGGCCUGAGAGGGUGACCGGCCACAUUGGGACUGAGAUAGGGCCCAGACUCCUACGGGAGGCAGCAGUGGGGAAUAUUGCACAAUGGGCGGAAGCCUGACGCAGCAACGCCGCGUGCGGGAUGACGGCCUUCGGGUUGUAAACCGCUUUCGCCUGUGACGAAGCGUGAGUGACGGUAAUGGGUAAAGAAGCACCGGCUAACUACGUG
rnacentral:rRNA from 1 species